rnacentral:rRNA from 1 species
UACGUAGGGGGCAAGCGUUAUCCGGUAUUACUGGGUGUAAAGGGAGCGUAGACGGUAAUGUAAGUCUGGAGUGAAAGGCGGGGGCCCAACCCCCGGACUGCUCUGGAAACUAUGUUACUAGAGUGCAGGAGAGGUAAGCGGAAUUCCUAGUGUAGCGGUGAAAUGCGUAGAUAUUAGGAGGAACACCAGUGGCGAAGGCGGCUUACUGGACUGUAACUGACGUUGAGGCUCGAAAGCGUGGGGAGCAAACAGG